UAUGUCGGAUAAUCGCUAUGCCUGAAAAAAGGUAUAGAGGAAAGUCCAUGCUCACACGCACCUGAGACGGGCGUAGUGUUCGUGCCUGACGAAACAAUAAGUCAGGGCAGUUCGUGAAUAACGGCUGACGGCUGUGAAAUAACCUAAGUGCAUAUAAGGUUAGAUUAGCUGUAAAAGUGCCACAGAGACGAGCUUACCAUGAAAGUGGUAAGGUGGAACGCGGUAAACCCCUCGAGUGAGCAAUCCAAACAAGGUAGGAGCACUCCCUGACGGAAAUUCAACCGGACGGGAGAUAUUACAAAUGUAAUAUAGACAGAUGAUUAUCACCAAUGUGCGAGUGUGACUAGUACACGUCUGAAGCACAGCGGUACAGAACAUGGCUUACAGAC
rnacentral:RNase_P_RNA from 1 species